rnacentral:rRNA from 1 species
CCUGGUUGAUCCUGCCAGUAACAUAUGCUUGUCUCAAAGAUUAAGCCAUGCAGGUCUAAGUGCACACGGAAGGUACAGUGAAACUGCGAAUGGCUCAUUAAAUCAGUUAUGGUCCCUUGAUCGCUCCACACGUUUCUCGGAUAACUGUGGUAAUUCCAGAGCUAAUACAUGCAAACCGAGCGCUGACCGGUCCUCUCUCGGGGGGGCCGGGAUGCGUGCAUUUAUCAGACCCAAAACCACCCGGGGGGGCCCGCGAGGGUUUCCCCCGCCCUUUGGUGACUCUAGAUAACCUCGGGUCGAUCGCGCGCCCACCGCGGCGGCGACGUCUCAUUCGAAUGUCUGCCCUAUCAGCUGUCGAUGGUAGCAUAGGGGGCUACCAUGGUGACCACGGGUAACGGGGAAUCAGGGUUCGAUUCCGGAGAGGAGCCUGAGAAAUGGCUACCACAUCCAAGGAAGGCAGCAGGCGCGCAAAUUACCCAUUACCGACACGGUGAGGUAGUGACGAAAAAUAACGAUGCAGGUCUCUUUCGAGGCCCUUGUAAUCGGAAUGAACGUAUCCUAAACACAUGGGUGAGGACCCAUUGGAGGGCAAGUCUGGGGGCCAGCAGCCGCGGAAAUUCCAGCUCCAAUAGCGUAUAUUAAAUUUGCUGCAGUUAAAAAGCUCGUACUGGACUUCCGGGAGUGGGCUGGCGGUCCGCCGCGAGGCGAGCUACCGCCUGUCCCAGACCCUGCCUCCCGGCGCCCCCCGAUGCCCUUGGUUGGGUUGUCCGGUCCUCAGGGGUCCGGAGCGUUUACUUUGAAAAAAUCAGAGUGUUCAAAGCGGGCACCAAACUCGCCUGAAUGCCUGAGCUAGGAAUAAUGGAAUAGGACUCCGGUUUAUUUUGUGGGUUUCCUGAACCAGGGCCAUGAUUAAGAGGGACGGCCGGGGGCAUUCGUAUUGCGCCGCUAGAGGUGAAAUUCUUGGACCGGCGCAAGACGGACGAAAGCGAAAGCAUUUGCCAAGAAUGUUUUCAUUAAUCAAGAACGAAAGUCGGAGGUUCGAAGACGAUCAGAUACCGUCGUAGUUCCGACCGUAAACUAUGCCGACCCGCGAUCCGGCGGCGUUAUUCCCAUGACCCGGCCGGGCAGCGUGCGGGGAAACCAGAGUCUUUGGGUUCCGGGGGGAGUAUGGUUGCAAAANNNNNNNCCCAGGAGUGGAGCCUGCGUCUUAAUUUGACUCAACACGGGGAACCUCACCCGGCCCGGACACGGAAAGGAUUGACAGACUGAUGGCUCUUUCUCGAUUCUGUGGGUGGAGGUUGCAUGGCCGUUCUUAGUUGGUGGAGUGAUUUGUCUGGUUAAUUCCGAUAACGAACGAGAUUCCUUCGUGCUAAAUAGUUACGCGGCCCCCCGCGGUCGGGGUUAACUUCUUAGAGGGACCAAGUGGCGUAUAGCCACGCGAGAUGGAGCAAUAACAGGUCUGUGAUGCCUUAGAUGUCCGGGGCUGCCCGCGCGCCACAAUGGCCGGGCCAGCGUGUGCCUACCCUACGCCGAGAGGCGCGGGUAAUCCGCUUAAACCCGUUCGUGACGGGGAUUGGGGAUGCAAUUAUUCCCCAUGAACGAGGAAUUCCCAGUAAGUGAGGGUCAUCAGCUCGCGCUGAUUAAGUCCCUGCCCUUUGUACACACCGCCCGUCGCUACUACCGAUUGGAUGGUUAUGUGAGGUCCUCGGAUCGGCCACGCCGGGGCUCCUUCGCGGGGCCUUGGUGCUGUGCUGAAAAGUCGAUCGAACUUGAUCAUCUAGAGGAAGUAAAAGUCGUAACAAGGUUUCCGUAGGUGAACCUGCGGAAG